ACAUCCCAGGAAUUGACUCUACUAUUGCUACUAUUCCUGCUACUACUACUACUGCUACUUCACCUCCUGACUCCACUGGCACUGCUGAAAAGAGACGUCGUGGGAGUAACUUUUCCUCUCACUCCUCUGACUCAUCAACGGAGGGAAACUUUGUCGCUCCGGAACGUGGAAAG